UGGGGAAUAUUGCACAAUGGGCGCAAGCCUGAUGCAGCAACGCCGCGUGAACGAUGAAGGUCUUCGGAUCGUAAAGUUCUGUUGCAGGGGAAGAUAAUGACGGUACCCUGUGAGGAAGCCCCGGCUAACUACGUGCCAGCAGCCGCGGUAAUACGUAGGGGGCUAGCGUUAUCCGGAUUUACUGGGCGUAAAGGGUGCGUAGGUGGUCUUUCAAGUCGGUGGUUAAAGGCUACGGCUCAACCGUAGUUAGCCUCCGAAACUGGAAGACUUGAGUGCAGGAGAGGCAAGGGGAAUUCCCAGUGUAGCGGUGGAAUGCGUAGAUAUUGGGAGGAACACCAGUAGCGAAGGCGGCUUUCUGGACUGCAACUGACACUGAGGCACGAAAGCGUGGGUAGCAAACAGG
rnacentral:rRNA from 1 species